rnacentral:rRNA from 1 species
UACGGGGGGGGCAAGCGUUGUUCGGAAUUAUUGGGCGUAAAGAGCUCGUAGGCGGUCUGUCACGUCGGCUGUGAAAACCCGAGGCUCAACCUCGGGCCUGCAGUCGAUACGGGCAAACUAGAGUACUGCAGGGGAGACUGGAAUUCCUGGUGUAGCGGUGAAAUGCGCAGAUAUCAGGAGGAACACCGGUGGCGAAGGCGGGUCUCUGGCCCGGUACUGACGCUGAGGUGCGAAAGCGUGGGGAGCAAACAGG